UAUGGCCACAUCACAUGGAAACACAGGUUCCUGUACAGUCACUGAAGUUAAGCAGUGUUGAGCCUGGGCAGUACCUUGAUGGAUGACCACUUGAGAACACCGGAUGCUGUAAG